GAAGUUGUUCCCACCUACCCUCCUCCUGCAAACCUAUUCUCUGCUGGCCAAAGGAUUUGAAUGAGACAGUCUCAAGUUCUCCAGUUAUACUCAGGGACUUCGAGGCUAGAGAAGUUGGGCCUCUAACUUGCAACUAAUUCACUUCCAGCUAAUCAGCUAAUUUACUCCAGCUUAUUAACUGAUUUAUUCCAGCUAAUCAGCUGAUUCGUUUCCAGCUAACCAGCUGAUUUACUUCGAACUAAUUAGUUAAUUUAUUCUAAAUAAAUAAUCAGAUUAUUCAUUCCUAGUGAAUCAGCUGAAUUAUUACAGCUUAUCAGCUAAUUUAUUCUCAGCAAAUCAGCUGAAUUAUUCUCAGCAAAUCAGCUGAUUUAUUCCAGCUUAUCAGCUGAUUUAAUCCAGCUAAUUAACUGAUAUAUUCCGGCUAACUACCUACAGCUGAUAAGUUGAUUGUAAUCUGCUUGGAGCUGAUCAACUGAUUAUCUCCUGUAUACAAGCUGAUUGACUGAUUAUCUCCUGUAUACAAGCUGAACAACUGAUUAUCUCCUGUUUACAAGCUGAUCAACUGAUUAUCUCCUGUAUACAAGCUGAUCGACUGAUUAUCUCAUGUAUACAAGCUGAUCAACUGAUUAUCUCCUGUAUACAAGCUGAUCAACUGAUUAUCUCCUGUAUACAAGCUGAUCAACUAAACCUAACUUUCUGAAUUUGCUUUAACCUUCAAUACAGCUGAAUAUAUUAAUUUCUUCAACUUUUAUCUAUUUUUCUCUUAUUUAUUACUAAUUUCAACUAAUCUGUAAGAUUAGUAAUUUGCAACUAAUUCAUCUUUAACGUGUGUACUGGACUACAUUUUAAAUUUUACAACAUCACUAGUUACAUUUUACUUCUACAUUUUACAACAUCCCUAGUUAAAUUUACAACUACAUUUUACAUUUUACAACAUCCCUAGUUACAUUUUACAUCUA